CGAGAAUAGAGUAGCAGGGUGGUGUCUCCUGCGCCCGUAAGGGUUCUUCCCAGCCACGG
rnacentral:ncRNA from 1 species